UGCUAGAAAGCAUCUGUGGCUUUUCUUCUACUGCAAAGUUAUGGGGAUUCUUUUUCUGGUCUUUGAAAUUGGAAGGACAAACUCCAAUGGCUGUUGUCUCAUGUCACAUUAAAGUUUGGCAAGGUUUUCUGAUUUUCUGGGACGGAAUUAAAAAGGGGACUGCAGUCAUCUGUUCCAGUAGUAUAUUAUGUGAUGGACAGAUACCAGAAUUACCAUAUUCAAUAAGAUCUUGGACUUGCAAGAAGAGUUAAUACUUUCCCUUUGCAGCACCAGGAGCUGCACUCGUCCUUUUUCCCCAAAGAAAAGGCUACAGAUGGGUCAAGCUUUGGCAGAAUGGGAGUGUUAAUUCCUCUCAGUGUCAGCUGUGAAUGUGAUCACCCAUCCUAUGUCUUCACAGUCUCACAGAGGGUUAUUCUGCUGCCGGCAGAUAUUUAAGAGCAGGGAAAGACAUUGACAACUGAAGCCACGGUGCAGAACAAAAUGCUGAUCCUUCAGCUGCAACCUACUUUGAGUUGUAAAAAUAAUAAGCAACCGUACUUUUCCCUAAAGUGUGUCAGUGCAGUGAAUGCAUUUACCGUGUGCUCCUUCUUAAACACGCUCCGCACUAAAACCACUGUAAUUUAUAUGUGGUUGUGACUGUUGUCAAUGAAGCUUCUCUGACGCUGAUUUGUGUUUCGUCUAAAAUGCUGUUUUAUGGUAUUGUGAACCUCUUUGGAAUUCUCUAUGAUGGAAAGUGGUAUAUAAGUAAGUAAUGCUGAGAAUGAGCUAGUUGGGUAUAGUGGGUGAAGUGCUAUACCACAAACUAGAAGACUGUGACUUCUAGUCCUUCCUUAAGAAUGAAAACAGGCUGGGUGACAUGGGGGCCAGUCACCGUCUCUCAGUCCAGGGUUAUUGUUGUGGGAAAAAUAGGGGGAGGCAAUAUUAGAUAUGAACACUGCCUUGAGAUGGCCAAAAAUAAAAGCUGCGUAAAAAUCUAAUAAAUAAGAUAUUCCUUUUAGGAAUGGAAUGAGAUCUGGAAGGCUAGGAAUAAUAGUAUAAUGUUAUCCAUUCAAUCACGUCUGAUUCUCGGUAAUUGGAUGAAUUUGAGUCAAAUGGAUAGGGUUUGCGGGAUCUACAUUCUAAUAAGCAGAUUUUGCCAGUUACAAAUGUAUUAAUGCCAGCCAGGUGCUUGAAUUCAUGAUAUCCACUAAAUAGUAAUAGAAGGACAGACUUCAGCAUUUACAAUUUUACUGGAAAGUAAGAGAUACAAGAAUCUAAGUGGAUUCCGUGUGGGCAUAAUACCGGUAGUUCGUGGUUGAUUAUGCUCACAUCUUUCUCUAUUCCUUGGUAACUUUAUUUUUCACAAUAAAAAAAAAUAUUGUAAGCUGCCCAGAGAUGCUUUGGAUAAGUGAGAUGGGAGACAUAUAAAUUUAAUAAAUGAAUGAAUAAAGUUGUCAACUCACAAAGCAUCCCUGCCCUGCUCUAGUGUUGCCAUAGGUCAGGGGGGAUGGGAAACCACUGAAAUGGCACAGCAGCCAAAAACAGAUGCACAUUCCACGCUUAUCUCUCUCAAGACUGUAUCCCAGGGUUACCUACAGCAGCUGGAGGGGAGUGACCUCUACAACCUGCAAAAUUGCUCCGUUGGCAAAUGUGAUUGAUGAUAAACCCUGAGGGGAGGGGGGAAACAGGGUCCUAAUUGGAAUGUCAAUUACGUAGGGUCAGAGCUGGCUUCACUUGGGAAUGUGUCAACAUCCAGCUCCUAAUAAAUAACUGGAUUUCUUUUGAA